AUGGCUUAUGUUAAGGUUGCUACUUUGGCUAUCUUCGGGCUUGCUAUAUUCUGUGCCUUUUCAAUGAAGGAGGUAGGAGCUGUAGAUUGUUCGGGUGCAUGUUCCCCCUUUGAGAUGCCACCAUGUGGCUCUUCUAGCUGUCGUUGUAUCCCCAUUUUAAUAUUUUUUUGCUCUGAAGCAAAAGACACGUUCUUCAAAAUUUACUCCAACUCUACAUUCGCGAACGAAUUGAAGAUGUCUGCCACUCUUUAA